GGGCCGGUAGCUCAGAAGAAUUAGAGCGGUUGAUUACGAAUCAACAGGUCGUGGGUUUAAGUCCUACCCGGCUCA
rnacentral:tRNA from 2 species